rnacentral:tRNA from 1 species
CUCCUGAUAGCCUUGUUGAUAAGGCUUCGGUUCGCCAACCCGGAGACGGCGGGUUCGAUUCCCGUUCCGGUCG